ensembl:lncRNA
CACAUCUCCAGUCCGGUUACUGGGAAACUUUCUCCUCCAACCACCCUUUGACUGUCUAUAAAUAAGUGUAACAAAAAGGGUACUGAGUAUUAAUUCACAGUGAAUCACAGCUGAACAGUAUGAUCAGGUGAAUCCCAUAAAGAGAACUGACAGUGUAUUCAGAUCGGAUGUUUGCCAUUCAAGGAUCUGCACCUCUUAUGAUCUAUUUGGGCCCAUCUUUCUCUAGCCUUUAGAAAAGACUUCUAGAGUCUUGCUGGUUGUCUUAUUAACAUGUAGAGAUGGCUAACUGGUGAAUCACAGCUUCCUUUAAGUAGCCCCUGACAUCUGUAGCAUUCUGUCAAAGUGUAGAGGGAAAUGAGAUGAAAGGCUUAAAAUGCUGUGUGGCUUUUCCAAUUUUAAGUAAUGUCAGACAUUCUUUGAAGUAAUUUGGCCUCUUGUGAAAAAUGUUCCCUGCGUUCAAGGGCAUCAAAACCAGGCAGCCCUCCUAAAAAUAGUACAUACUUAUUUGUUGAGUUAAAAGUUUCACAGGUAUCCUUUUUAUUCAUCCUACUUUGUUUAUCUGUGAAGGUGCUCAUUUGUUUGUUUUCCUUGCAAGAUUCCUGAGAACGUUCUUAUACUUCCAAACCACAUUUCUCGAAUCUGAGUAUGGGAAGGGGGUAGUACAUAGAUUACUUGCUGAAUAUACUAAAACUCAAUCAUAUUUAACUACUUUAUGAAGUCUGUUUAAGUUUUGUAACAUUUAACUACUUUAAUUCUAGGCUAGAUCCUCUUUUCUGCUAACUUGUUUUCCUAGUGAAAAAAGAGAAAAUAAUAGGUGCAUUAAUUGCUAGUUAAAGUAGCAGGCCAUGGUGAACCUCUUAACAUUCUCCUAUUUUAUGAGCAUAAAACUUCUAUUUUAAUAAUGCCUUGCAGUAGAGGAUCUUUUCAUGGCAGCUAAAUGAUGUACAAUGGUAAUAUUUCUACAAGAAAAUGAGAUUUUGAUAUUGCCUUGGUUUUCAGUGAAACAAAAGAAUUUGUGAAGAACUUGAAAGCGAAUACCACUCAUCAUCAUGGACAGCUGAUGAAGAAGACCGAACCAGGGAAGAGUGGUUGAGAUUCUUUUUUUCUAGUUAAAGGAAGCAGGAGAUGUUCUUGCUCUAGCAAACAGCACUGACAUGAUCAAGAAUCUCUGAAAAUCCCUGGAGAGAUCUCUCCAAGCACUGUGACAGCAGGGAGGCAGGCAUUCUCUUGCUACUUUAUGAUUCAGUAAGAAAAGGAUGAGGUUCCAGAAGUGAAGGAUGUAGAAGAGAUGACUUCAGUUGGUGCACAAGACAUUUAUUUCAAGUAGCCGUUUCAGGGCUAAGACUUUGCCCACCAUCUUCACCCCCUGCAGUACUCUGGUUUCUGAAACUUCAAGCCUGCUGAGCAAGCCUGUUAGGUUACAGAAAACGAACACAACACAGUGACUGGCUGGGGGCGAGGCACGGAGCUGCUGCUGGAUGCAGUAUCCUCAGAUGGCCUGUUGUUUGCUCAGUGUUUCUCAAAGCUCUGCCUUGUUUUUCAGACAAGAGUAGGUAUUGAAGGCCACAUCUGCAUUUCCAUGCUCUAGAAUUGAUUCUGAUAACUUCACAUGUGGGUUAAGAAAAAGUAAGGCUUGAAGAAGUGCUAAAUACAGAAUUUUAAAUUUUGGCUUGCAACAUUUUCUCCUUUUAUAAUUUUUUU